CAUGUCUUUUUGAUUAUGAUUUAAAGUCUGGUCUGCCCAUUGAUUUAUUUAACGGCUGCAGUAUUAUGACUGUACAAAGGUAGCGUGAUAAUUAGUUUUUUAAUUGGAAGCUGGUAUGAAGGAUUGGACGAGAAAGUUUCUGUCUCAAUGUUAUUUAAAUUGAAUUUAAUUUUUAAGUAAAAAAGCUUAAAUUUAUUUAGAGGACGAGAAGACCCUAUAGAGCUUUAUAUUUAUAUAUUUUUUUUAUAUUAGAAUAUUUUCUUUGGAUUUAUAUUAAAUUUUAGGUUGGGGUGAUUUAAAGAUUUAUUUAACUCUUUAAAGUAUUAACAUUGAUUUUUGAGUGUUGGAUCUAUUAUUAAUAAUUUUAAGGUUAAGUUACCUUAGGGAUAACAGCGUAAUUUUUUGGAAAGUUCAUAUUGAAUUAAAAGAUUGCGACCUCGAUGUUGGAUUAAAAUUA
rnacentral:rRNA from 1 species